GCGGCGGCGACAUAGGCGUCUCCGUCUCCUCCCAUCCUCUGUCCGAUGGAUGCACUGGAGAUCAAUCAGAUCCGUGGCGGAGGGGUGCCAUGGGAUCUUGGCGCGGUAGCAGAGUGGACGGCCAAUCUGUGCUCACCGGAUGUAGGGUGAACAUGUUUGAGCGCUCACCUGGAGGCUGGAUUGGAGCGGCAGUACAGGUUGGUGAUGUGUAUGGCUGGGAUCCAUGGAGGCGGAGGGGAUCUUGUAGUUCUCCUAGGGAGUCCCGUCGCGGCAGCGUGCGGCCAUCGCGCAGGCACCUCCUCGCCCGCUCGGCGCGGCCCCUAGGGAGUUGCUACUGCCGACGCGGCGUGCGGGCACCUCCUCGCCCGCUCGGUGUCGUAGACCAGGGAGCCUGGCAAGAAGACGCCUUCUUUGACUCGGCCUGGGCGCGGUGGUGCUGCACGUCGGCGCUACCGCUGCCGGAGCUGAGAUCCAGGCGGCGCUGAUCCCCUCCGCCAUGGUACAAGGCUCCUCCAUCCUGUCCUCUGCCAGUAGAGGAGGAAGAGGAGGACGCAGGGGCUCCUUCACGGCGCUGCUGGGCCUCCCCACCUCCCAGGCCAUGGAGCUGCUCCUCCCCCGAGCCGUGGCGCCUGCAUCAACGCCAUCUCCCUGCCCCUGCCCGCGCGCCCACCUUCCCUCCGACCCGCACCUCGUGGACCUCGCGGAGGGAAGAGGACCUGCGGUGGCUGCGGCGGCCCUGCAAUGGAAGAGGAAGCAGAGGCGACGCGGGCUAGCUGAGCGGCGCUUGACCCGGUGGAGACGCCGCCACCAGAGCUGGCAACAGCGGCGCAGGCGCAUACCCAGGGAGGCAGGGAGAGCGUGUGUGGUGGCUCAGAGUAGCCUCGCUUGCAGAUCCAACAUCAUGAACCAGUGAAGCAGCAGCAUGGAGGAGGAGGAGCAGGUAGCUCAUGACGGCGGAGAUGAGGUGCAUCAGCAGGCAGCUCAUGCGGCGGAGAUGAGGUGCACUGGCGGCUCAAGGUGACGAGAUCCUGACUGUUUGCACCGCGACAUUGCUUUGCUUGCUAGCUAAAGAUCUUUUUUUGUUCUCUA